AACCUCAUGGUGUGGGCAUUGAUGUUAUAGAUCCCUAAAACGCUCCCAAGUCUCGAAGAAUAGUUCCCCAUCGAAGUAUGAGAAAUUAGUGAUGGCUCUCCUGAGCGGGU